rnacentral:ncRNA from 1 species
UAUAUCCCAGCGGAAGAGUCCGGCUCUCUAAUUGGAGAGUCGGCGCCGAAGGCGCAACCGCCCCGGAAACGCUCAGGCCCAUGGACCGCUGGGACGAU